AGGUCACCCCUGUGCGACGCAUGACAAGGAAGAAGGAGAAGGAGACUGAUUUCACAUGAGGAUCACAAAAUUGGAGGGUUGAAGUCUCGAUUAUGUCUUCUUUGCUUGAUUCUAAGGCUCUAAUAGGUGGCAUAACGUUUGGAUGGCAACAGGUCAAACGGGUGAUAAAGCAACAACAUUCCUACGGGCAAAGGGAUAUACAUGAGAUAUAAAAAAGGGGCAUCCAUAUUAGAUUGGAGAAAGUCACAAAAUGUGUGACUCGAGAUAAUGAAGUGGUGGCUCGAUAUUGUUUCGUUGGGCAUUAUGAGCAUUGAAUACUCCGUUAUGUUUGGUACAAAAUCAUAUUAUGAGUCCUCACUUAACAAAAGCUAAUAUUUUGAUGUUUUAAAUGUAGGUGAUAAGUCAUGAAAAUCAACGGGGUGACUUGAACCAGAAUCAUGAAAGAAGAAAACAUCUCACAAGUCAUUCACCAAUAAUUCGAUUCGGGUGGUAGGAAGGCGAAAGUGAUCAAGUUUUUGAAGCGGGUCAACGAUGUGAAGAUUUAGUGAUGCCUUGUUCACUAAGUAAUAUGGGUUUUCUUAUUGGGUCAACUUGACUUAGUUAGUUGCAUUUUAGAGUUUAACUUUAAUGUUUAUUUUAGCCAAGUGCUAGUAUGUCAAUGUAGUAGUGGGUUAUAUUUGUUUUAUAAAAACCUUGGUUAAUAAG